GACGAACGCUGGCGGCGUGCCUAAUACAUGCAAGUUGAGCGCUGAAGGUUGGUACUUGUACCAACUGGAUGAGCAGCGAACGGGUGAGUAACGCGUGGGGAAUCUGCCUUUGAGCGGGGGACAACAUUUGGAAACGAAUGCUAAUACCGCAUAAAAACUUUAAACACAAGUUUUAAGUUUGAAAGAUGCAAUUGCAUCACUCAAAGAUGAUCCCGCGUUGUAUUAGCUAGUUGGUGAGGUAAAGGCUCGCCAAGGCGAUGAUACAUAGCCGACCUGAGAGGGUGAUCGGCCACAUUGGGACUGAGACACGGCCCAAACUCCUACGGGAGGCAGCAGUAGGGAAUCUUCGGCAAUGGACGAAAGUCUGACCGAGCAACGCCGCGUGAGUGAAGAAGGUUUUCGGACCGUAAAACUCUGUUGGUAGAGAAGAACGUUGGUGAGAGUGGAAAGCUCAUCAAGUGACGGUAACUACCCAGAAAGGGACGGCUAACUACGUG
rnacentral:rRNA from 1 species